rnacentral:rRNA from 1 species
UGCCGCGUGAGUGAAGAAGGCCUUCGGGUUGUAAAGCUCUUUCGGCUGGGAAGAAAUCGCACAGGCUAAUACUCUGUGUGGAUGACGGUACCAGCACAAGAAGCACCGGCUAACUACGUGCCAGCAGCCGCGGUAAUACGUAGGGUGCGAGCGUUAAUCGGAAUUACUGGGCGUAAAGCGUGCGCAGGCGGUUGUGCAAGACAGAUGUGAAAUCCCCGGGCUCAACCUGGGAACUGCAUUUGUGACUGCACGACUAGAGUACGGCAGAGGGGGGUAGAAUUCCACGUGUAGCAGUGAAAUGCGUAGAGAUGUGGAGGAAUACCGAUGGCGAAGGCAGCCCCCUGGGCCGAUACUGACGCUCAUGCACGAAAGCGUGGGGAGCAAACAGGAUUAGAUACCCUGGUAGUCCACGCCCUAAACGAUGUCAACUAGUUGUUGGUAGGGUUAAACCUAUUAGUAACGUAGCUAACGCGUGAAGUUGACCGCCUGGGGAGUACGGUCGCAAGAUUAAAACUCAAAGGAAUUGACGGGGACCCGCACAAGCGGUGGAUGAUGUGGAUUAAUUCGAUGCAACGCGAAAAACCUUACCUACCCUUGACAUGUCAAGAAUCCCGAAGAGA